rnacentral:rRNA from 1 species
AUUGAACGCUGGCGGCAGGCCUAACACAUGCAAGUCGAGCGGAUGAAGGGAGCUUGCUCCUGGAUUCAGCGGCGGACGGGUGAGUAAUGCCUAGGAAUCUGCCUGGUAGUGGGGGAUAACGCCCGUAAACGGGCGCUAAUACCGCAUACGUCCUGAGGGAGAAAGUGGGGGAUCUUCGGACUUCACGCUAUUAGAUGAGCCUAGGUCGGAUUAGCUAGUUGGUGGGGUAAAGGCCUACCAAGGCGACGAUCCGUAACUGGUCUGAGAGGAUGAUCAGUCACACUGGAACUGAGACACGGUCCAGACUCCUACGGGAGGAAGCAGUGGGGAAUGUUGGGCAAUGGGCGAAAGCCUGUUCCAGCCAUGCCGCGUGUGUGAAGAAGGUCUUCGGGUUGUAAAGCACUUUAAGUUGGGAGGAAGAGCAGUAAGUUAAUACCUUGCUGUUUUGACGUUACCAACAGAAUAAGCACCGGCUAACUUCGUG